rnacentral:rRNA from 1 species
GAUGAACGCUAGCGGCGUGCUUAACACAUGCAAGUCGAACGGGAAACCUUUUAUUGAAGCUUCGGCAGAUUUAGCUGGUUUCUAGUGGCGGACGGGUGAGUAACGCGUGGGUAACCUGCCUUAUACAGGGGGAUAACAGUCAGAAAUGGCUGCUAAUACCGCAUAAGCGCACAGAGCUGCAUGGCUCAGUGUGAAAAACUCCGGUGGUAUAAGAUGGACCCGCGUUGGAUUAGCUGGUUGGUGGGGUAACGGCCCACCAAGGCGACGAUCUAUAGCCGGCCUGAGAGGGUGAACGGCCACAUUGGGACUGAGACACGGCCCAGACUCCUACGGGAGGCAGCAGUGGGGAAUAUUGCACAAUGGGGGAAACCCUGAUGCAGCGACGCCGCGUGAAGGAAGAAGUAUCUCGGUAUGUAAACUUCUAUCAGCAGGGAAGAUAAUGACGGUACCUGACUAAGAAGCCCCGGCUAACUACGUG